rnacentral:rRNA from 1 species
CCCUUAGAUGUUCUGGGCCGCACGCGCGCUACACUGGUGUAUUCAACAAGUAUAUAACCUUGAUAGAGAUGUCUGGGUAAUCUUUUAAACGUACACCGUGCUUGGGCUGGAUCGUUGCAAUCGUCGAUCCUUAACGAGGAAUGCCUAGUAAACGCAAGUCAUCAACUUGCAUUGAUUACGUCCCUGCCCUUUGUACACACCGCCCGUCGCACCUACCGAUUGAAUGAUUCGGUGAGGCUUUCGGAUUUUGCGUUAGUUUCGAAAGAGACUUUUGCGAGAGAAGUUAUCCAAACCUCAUCAUUUAGAGGAAGGUGAANUCGUAACA